GACGAACGCUGGCGGCGUGCUUAACACAUGCAAGUCGAACGGAAAGGCCCUGCUUUUGUGGGGUGCUCGAGUGGCGAACGGGUGAGUAACACGUGAGUAACCUGCCCUUGACUUUGGGAUAACUUCAGGAAACUGGGGCUAAUACCGGAUAGGAGCUCCUGCUGCAUGGUGGGGGUUGGAAAGUUUCGGCGGUUGGGGAUGGACUCGCGGCUUAUCAGCUUGUUGGUGGGGUAGUGGCUUACCAAGGCUUUGACGGGUAGCCGGCCUGAGAGGGUGACCGGCCACAUGGGGACUGAGAGACGGACCAGACGCCUACGGGAGGCAGCAGUGGGGAAUAUGGCACAAUGGGCGGAAGCCUGAUGCAGCAACGCCGGGUUCGGGAAGACGGCUUUCGGGUUGUAAACCGCUUUCGCCUGUGACGAAGCGUGAGUGACGGUAAUGGGUAAAGAAGCACCGGCUAACUACGUG
rnacentral:rRNA from 1 species